rnacentral:rRNA from 1 species
GACGAACGCUGGCGGCGUGCUUAACACAUGCAAGUCGAACGGAAAGGCCCUGCUUUUGUGGGGUGCUCGAGUGGCGAACGGGUGAGUAACACGUGAGUAACCUGCCCUUGACUUUGGGAUAACUUCAGGAAACUGGGGCUAAUACCGGGUAGGAGCUCCUGCUGCAUGGGGGGGGUUGGAAAGUUUCGGCGGUUGGGGAUGGACUCGCGGCUUAUCAGCUUGUUGGUGGGGUAGUGGCUUACCAGGGCUUUGACGGGUAGCCGGCCUGAGAGGGUGACCGGCCACAUUGGGACUGAGAUACGGCCCAGACUCCUACGGGAGGCAGCAGUGGGGAAUAUUGCACAAUGGGCGGAAGCCUGAUGCAGCAACGCCGCGUGCGGGAUGACGGCCUUCGGGUUGUAAACCGCUUUCGCCUGUGACGAAGCGUGCGUGACGGUAAUGGGUAAAGAAGCACCGGCUAACUACGUG